CCUCCUUAAAAGUAGAAGAGUUGGGCGUGAAAGCGUCCACACAAUUUGCCUGUUUGAUGUCCGUGACCGCGGGUCUGUAGCUCAGUUGGUUAGAGCGCACCCCUGAUAAGGGUGAGGUCGGAAGUUCAAAUCUUCCCAGACCCACCACCUCUUCGAGCAAGAAGAUCUUACGGGGCCAUAGCUCAGCUGGGAGAGCACCUGCUUUGCAAGCAGGGGGUCGGCGGUUCGAUCCCGCCUGGCUCCACCAGGUGACAAACGCCAGCAGCAUUGGCUGCUGGCGUUUGUCCCUUGAUCAGGUCUGGUCGGGAACCGUUCUUUAAAAAUUUGGGUAGUGAUAUACGACGGUGAAGUGGAUUCCCUUCGGGGAAGGAAGCUUUACUGGGUAUACCAGCAUUUACUAAUUAAGUUCAGACCUUGAGAAAGUUCAGUCUUCUUGGGGGUUAA
rnacentral:tRNA from 1 species